rnacentral:rRNA from 1 species
CGAACCGUGCGAACGUUAUUCGGAAUCACUGGGCUUAAAGAGCGCGUAGGCGGAUUGCUACGUCGGUUGCUGAAAUCCCCCGGCUCAACCGGGGAAGUGGCAGCGAUACGGGCAGUCUCGAGGGACGUAGGGGGACCUGGAACUUCCGGGUGGAGCGGUGAAAUGCGUUGAGAUCGGAAGGAACGCCCGUGGCGAAAGCGAGGUCCUGGACGUCUUCUGACGCUGAGGCGCGAAAGCUAGGGGAGCGAACGGGGAUU